ACUAAUGUGUAAUAGCAGUGUUAAUUCUCCCUUGCAGGAGCCUUUAUCUAAGCCAUGUUACAGCAGUAUAUCAGACUGUUAUCUGGCCUGGCAUUCCUCAUAACUUGUACACCAGCAAUAGUGGAGAAUACAUGGACAACUGCUUGGAGAACCAUUAAAUCCAUUAUUUUUAAAAAAAUGGAAAAAAUAUGGCACCACAACAAACCUGCCAAGAGAGGGUCUUCCACCAAAACUCACAGACCAGGCAAGGAGGGCAUUAAUCAGAGAGGCAACAAAGAGACCAAAGAUAACCCUGAAGGAGCUACAAAGUAUCUGUCCAUAGGACCACUUUAAGCUGGAAACUACAAAGAGCUGGGUUUUAAUGAAGAGUAUCCAGAAAAAAAGCCAUUGCUUAAAGAAAAAAUAAGCAAACAUGUUUGCUGUUCGCCAACAGGCAUGUGGGAGACUCCCCAAACAUAUGGAAAAAGGUACUCUGGUCAGAUGAGACUAAAAGUGAGCUUUUUGGGCAUCAAGGAAAACGCUAUGUCUGGGAAACUGGUCAGAAUUGAAGGAAUGAUGGGUGUCGCUAAAUAUAGAGAAAUUCUUGAGGGAAACCUGUUUCAGUCUUCUAGAAAUUUGAGAUUGGGACGGAGGUUAACCUUCCAGCAGGACAAUGAUCCUAAGUAUACUGCUAAAUCAACACUCGACUGGUUUAAGGGGAAACAUUUAAAUGUCUUGGAAUGACCUAGUCAAAGGCCCAGACCUCAACCCAACUGAGAAUCUGUGGUAUAAUUUAAAAAUUGUUCAUCCAACCUGAAGAAGGGUCAAAACUCCCAGUGGCUAGACUUGCCAAGCUUAUAGAGGUACCACAAAAGACCUGCAGCUGUAAUUGCUGUAAAAGGUGGCUCUACAAAGUAUUGACUUUGGUAGGAGAAUAGUUAUACACACUCAAGUUUUCUUUUUUUUGUCUUGUUUUCUGUUUGCUUCACAAUAAAAAAAUAAUUUGCACUCUUCAAA